GUCGAACGGAGUGCUCCGGAAAGAGAUUUCGGUCAAUGGAUGGAGUUACUUAGUUGCGGACGGGUGAGUAACGCGUGAGGAACCUGCCUUUCAGAGGGGGACAACAGUUGGAAACGACUGCUAAUACCGCAUAACGCAUGGGUAUCGCAUGGUAUCUGUGCCAAAGAUUUAUCGCUGAGAGAUGGCCUCGCGUCUGAUUAGCUAGUUGGUGAGGUAACGGCCCACCAAGGCGACGAUCAGUAGCCGGACUGAGAGGUUGGCCGGCCACAUUGGGACUGAGAUACGGCCCAGACUCCUACGGGAGGCAGCAGUGGGGAAUAUUGGGCAAUGGGCGCAAGCCUGACCCAGCAACGCCGCGUGAAGGAAGAAGGCUUUCGGGUUGUAAACUUCUUUUAAGAGGGAAGAGCAGAAGACGGUACCUCUUGAAUAAGCCACGGCUAACUACGUGCCAGCAGCCGCGGUAAUACGUAGGUGGCAAGCGUUGUCCGGAUUUACUGGGUGUAAAGGGCGUGUAGCCGGGCUGACAAGUCAGAUGUGAAAUUCCGGGGCUCAACCCCGGACCUGCAUUUGAAACUGUUGGUCUUGAGUAUCGGAGAGGCAGGCGGAAUUCCUAGUGUAGCGGUGAAAUGCGUAGAUAUUAGGAGGAA
rnacentral:rRNA from 1 species